rnacentral:rRNA from 1 species
UUAUGAUGCGAGGUUAAGUUGAAGAGACGGAGCCGUAGGGAAACCGAGUCUGAAUAGGGCGACUUAGUAUCAUGAUGUAGACCCGAAACCUAGUGACCUAUCCAUGAGCAGGGUGAAGGUGUGGUAAGACGCACUGGAGGCCCGAACCAGGACACGUUGAAAAGUGUUUGGAUGACUUGUGGAUAGCGGAGAAAUUCCAAACGAACUGGGAGAUAGCUGGUUCUCUCCGAAAUAGCUUUAGGGCUAGCGUCGAAAUGUAAGUGUAUUGGAGGUAGAGCACUGUUUGGGUGAGGGGUCCGUCUAGGAUUACCAAUCUCAGAUAAACUCCGAAUGCUAAUACACAUGUUCGGCAGUCAGACUGCGAGUGCUAAGAUCCGUAGUCGAAAGGGAAACAGCCCAGACCAACAGCUAAGGUCCCAAAAUAUAUGUUAAGUGGAAAAGGAUGUGGGGUUGCACAGACAACUAGGAUGUUAGCUCAGAAGCAGCUAUCAUUCAAAGAGUGCGUAAUAGCUCACUAGUCGAGUGACCCUGCGCCGAAAAUGUACCGGGGCUAAACAUAUUACCGAAGCUUUGGAUUGAUAUUUUAUCAAUGGUAGGAGAGCGUUCUUAACCGCGAUGAAGGUAUACCGUGAGGAGUGCUGGAGCGUUAAGAAGUGAGAAUGCCGGUAUGAGUAGCGCAAGAUAAGUGAGAAUCUUAUCCACCGUAAGACUAAGGUUUCCAGGGGAAGGCUCGUCCGCCCUGGGUUAGUCGGGACCUAAGGCGAGGCCGAAAGGCGUAGUCGAUGGACAACUGGUUGAUAUUCCAGUACUAGAUAUGAUCGUGAUGGAGGGACG